CUAAUAAGCGCGCGAGCGCCGCUGUUUAAACUUCAGCGGUUACGGUGCGCUGACUGCGCUCAGCGUUCGGGAGAACGACGAUUACAUUGGUAAGUGAGAAAAUUAAUUAAUUGCAGCUUAUUUCAAUUACUUUUACCUAAACCCUUGUCAUUUUUAGUUAGCCUAACGUUACACGUUUAUUUCAAGAAGCUAAAAAGAAGAAAGGUGGUUUAUCGCGUUGUCCAGGCCUGCGCAAUUCUCCGCCGGGAGAUGUUCAUCUAUCUCAGAGAGCACUUUUAAAGUUUUACCACCACCUUAUCAGAGUGCUGAAAAGUGGAAGUCAGAGGAAACAUGCCCAACUUGCUGCAAAACAAUAACACAAAAGGUACAUUAUUUCUUUUUCCUCACAGUACCAACUUUGGGGAAACUCAUAA
rnacentral:lncRNA from 1 species